GCAUGCGUGGCGCAGUGGCUAACGCUGCUGUCUAUCAUUUUUUCAGCGAGGGUUCGACUCCCUGCGGGUCA